CACUCACAGCCUGUGAAUCACAGGACAGGGAAGUGCAACGUGAACUGAACUGUGCUGCGCUAGCUAGCCUGAUCAACAGAUCAACAGAUAAUGGCAACGUUUGUAUUGAUCUUAAAUAGUUUGUUGCCUGCUACCUUGUCACCGCGACAACAUUAUUAGUAUAUCGAAUAAUAUUGGAACUGUACCCUUUAUGGAGUAGUGGCCAAGUAAGUUAUAUAAAUGUGAGGGUAAUCAUCACCUUAGCUAAGCUUGUUAGCUAGCGAGCGUUAGUCAAGGCUCCUAGCAACGACGUUUACUUGACGACCAUUCGUUUCAAGAUUCGCUGUGUGUCUUGGUACAGAAGCUGGUUGCUGGAGUGGAGAAUUGUUUUUCAGCCACCACUAUGAGAUUAAAAACAUCGUUACAGAAGGAGCCAAAACAUAAGGAGCUUGUGAGCAGCGUGGGCUGGACUAGCGCGGACGAGCUGUACUCCUGUAGCGAGGACCACCAGAUCCUGAAGUGGAACGUGCUCACUGGGGACACCACCCUGGUGGUGAAGCUGCAGGAGGACAUCUUCCCCGUUGAUCUGCACUGGAUCCCGAAGACUGUGGGCGGCAAGAAGCAGGCCCUGGUAGAGAACUUUGUGCUGACCAGCACUGAUGGGAAGUUCCACCUGUUCUCCAGGACAGGUCGUGUGGAGAAGAGUGUUGAGGCCCACAAGGGAGCCGUGCUGGCGGGGAGGUGGAACUACGAUGGCACCGCUCUCAUCACAGCUGGAGAGGACGGUCAGAUCAAGAUCUGGUCCAAGACUGGCAUGCUCAGGUCUACCCUGGCUCUGCAAGGGUCUCCGGUGUACUCGGUGGCCUGGGGUCCUGACUCUGACAGGAUUCUCUACACGUCUGGCAGACAGCUGGUCAUCAAGCCCCUGCAGCCCAGCGCCAAGGUCCAGCAGUGGAAGGCUCAUGAUGGGGUCAUUCUGAAGGUGGACUGGAACUCAGUGAACGACUUGAUCCUAUCAGGAGGAGAGGACUGUAAAUACAAGGUGUGGGACAGCUACGGCCGUCUCCUGUACUCCUCGUCUCCUCAUGACUACCCCAUCACCUCCGUCUCCUGGGCUCCUGAUGGAGAGGUGUUUGCUGUCGGCUCCUUUAACACCCUGCGCCUGUGUGACAAGACUGGGUGGUCGUACGCCCUGGAGAAGCCGAGCUCAGGGAGCGUGUUCAGCGUGGCGUGGGCGGCUGACGGCUCCCAGCUGGCCGGGGCGUGUGGGAACGGCCAGGUGCUGCUUGCUCACGUGGUGGAGCAGCGCUGGGAGUGGACUAGCUUCCAGAUCACCCUCACUAAGAGGAGGAGCAUGCAGGUGAGGAACGUGCUGAAUGAUGCAGUAGACAUGCUGGAGUUCAGAGACAGGGUCAUCAAGGCCUCUCUGGCUUACGGUCACCUGGUGGUCACCACCUCUUUACAGUGCUACGUUUACAAUGUGAAGAACUGGAAUACUCCCCUGAUCUUUGACCUGAAGGAGGGAACCGUCAGUCUCAUCCUGCAGGCAGAGAAACACUUCCUCCUGGUGGAUGGUGCUGGUGUUUAUGUCUUUUCCUACGAGGGUCGUCUCGUCUCCUCCCCCAAGUUCCCUGGGAUGAGGAGCGACACGCUGAGCCAGCAGUCCAUCUCCCUGAGCAACGACACCAUCGCCAUCCGAGACAAGAGCGACCAGAAGGCCAUCUUCCUCUUUGACGCUCUGACUGGGAAAGCUCUCGGAGACGGGAAACCACUGCUGCACAAGAUGGAAGUGGUGGAGAUAUCUCUGGACCAGUGUGGUUCUUCUGGAGAGAGGAAGAUUGCCCUUAUAGACAAGAACCGUGACCUCUACCUGACCCCUGUACGACGCCUGGCACGAGACCAGGGCCCCAGACAGAUAGGGGCCAUGGUGGUCACCAUGUCCUGGAACGACACAGCCAACAUCCUGUGUGGCAUUCAGGACAGCCAGCUGUGCGUGUGGCUGGACCCAGGAUGUGUGUUCACCGACAAGGACCUGCUGCCCCACACCCUGGUCAGCAAGGAUGCCAGUGAGUUGAGUCGCUCCCCCCACAUCCUGAGCUACGUGGGCUCCCAGGUGACGGUUCGCCGUAGCGACGGCUCUCUGGUGUGCAGCAGUGUGACUCCCUACGCCAGCCUGCUGCACCAGUACAGCGCCACCUCCCGCUGGGAGGACUCACUGCGCCUCUGCCGCUUCGCUAAGGACCAGUCACUGUGGGCGUGUCUUGCUGGCAUGGCAAUGGCCAAUCGGGAGCUGAGCACAGCUGAGGUGGCCUAUGCAGCCAUAGGAGAGGUAGACAAGGUCCAGUAUAUUACCUCCAUGAAGGAGCUUCCGUCCAGGGAGUCGUUGCUGGCUCACUUGCAGCUGUUCAGUGGCCAUGUGCAGGAAGCAGAGGGCAUCCUGCUGCAGGCUGGCCUCACUUACCAGGCCAUCCAGCUGCACAUCUCCCUCUACCACUGGGGACCGGGCUCUGGAGCUAGCUGUGAAGUAUAAGACCCAUGUGGACACAGUUCUGGCCUAUAGACUGAAGUUCCUGCAGGACUUCAGAAAGCAGGAAACCAACAAGCGUUUCCUGCAGUACGCAGAAGGGGUGGAGGUGGACUGGGAGAAGGUGCAGGCCAAGGUGGAGAUGGAGCUGGCCAGGGAGAGAGAGAGAGCAGUCAGCACCUCCAUCAAGACCAGCCUGGGACCUCCACACUGACACACACACACUGACACACACUACUUAUUGUACAUCUCUAACGUAUAUACAUGUAUACUGUAAUAUGAUAUGAGCUACCAUAUGUACCUUUAGUCUUGAUAACACUAUAUAAGACCAGUGACUGUUAGUGUGUGUAAUGUGAUAUUGUACAUGUUCAGCAGAGUGGUAUAUGUAAGGGUUUACAUUGAUAGUUCGGGUGUUAUUUUAUCGGGUGUUUACGUUAUUUUAUCAAUAUAGAUAUUUUUACACUUGUUGCCUCAAAUUGUUCAAAAUAAAAACAGUGAGAAAAA